CAGCCGCCACGGGAAUACGUAGGGUGCAGGCGUUAAUCGGAAUUACUGGGCGUAAAGCGUGCGCAGGCGGUUAUAUAAGUCAGAUGUGAAAUCCCCGGGCUCAACCUGGGAACUGCAUUUGAGACUGUAUGGCUAGAGUGUGUCAGAGGGGGGUAGAAUUCCACGUGUAGCAGUGAAAUGCGUAGAUAUGUGGAGGAAUACCGAUGGCGAAGGCAGCCCCCUGGGAUAACACUGACGCUCAUGCACGAAAGCGUGGGGAGCAAACAGGAUUAGAUACCCGCGUAGUCCCUGUCUCUUAUAC
rnacentral:rRNA from 1 species